GAUGAACGCUGGCGGCGUGCCUAAUACAUGCAAGUCGAGCGAACGGACGAGAAGCUUGCUUUUCUGAUGUUAGCGGCGGACGGGUGAGUAACACGUGGAUAACCUACCUAUAAGACUGGGAUAACUUCGGGAAACCGGAGCUAAUACCGGAUAAUAUUUUGAACCGCAUGGUUCAAAAGUGAAGGACGGUCUUGCUGUCACUUAUAGAUGGAUCCGCGCUGCAUUAGCUAGUUGGUAAGGUAACGGCUUACCAAGGCAACGAUGCAUAGCCGACCUGAGAGGGUGAUCGGCCACACUGGAACUGAGACACGGUCCAGACUCCUACGGGAGGCAGCAGUAGGGAAUCUUCCGCAAAGGGCGAAAGCCUGACGGAGCAACGCCGCGUGAGUGAUGAAGGUCUUCGGAUCGUAAAACUCUGUUAUUAGGGAAGAGCAUAUGUGUAAGUAACUGUGCACAUCUUGACGGUACCUAAUCAGAAAGCCACGGCUAACUACGUG
rnacentral:rRNA from 1 species